rnacentral:rRNA from 1 species
ACUCUCAGCAACGGAUAUCUUGGCUCUUGCAUCGAUGAAGAACGCAGCGAAAUGCGAUACGUAGUGUGAAUUGCAGAAUUCCGCGAAUCAUCGAGUCUUUGAACGCAAGUUGCGCCCGAGGCUUGUCCGAGGGCAUUUCCGCUAGAGCGUCACCGCGCCCC